GAUGAACGCUGGCGGCGUGCCUAAUACAUGCAAGUCGAGCGAACAGACGAGGAGCUUGCUCCUUCGACGUUAGCGGCGGACGGGUGAGUAACACGUAGGUAACCUACCUAUAAGACUGGGAUAACUUCGGGAAACCGGAGCUAAUACCGGAUAAUAUUUCGAACCGCAUGGUUCGAUAGUGAAAGAUGGCUUUGCUAUCACUUAUAGAUGGACCUGCGCCGUAUUAGCUAGUUGGUAAGGUAACGGCUUACCAAGGCAACGAUACGUAGCCGACCUGAGAGGGUGAUCGGCCACACUGGAACUGAGACACGGUCCAGACUCCUACGGGAGGCAGCAGUAGGGAAUCUUCCGCAAUGGGCGAAAGCCUGACGGAGCAACGCCGCGUAAGUGAUGAAGGUCUUCGGAUCGUAAAACUCUGUUAUUAGGGAAGAACAAAUGUGUAAGUAACUGUGCACGUCUUGACGGUACCUAAUCAGAAAGCCACGGCUAACUACGUG
rnacentral:rRNA from 1 species